rnacentral:rRNA from 1 species
UACGGGGGGAGCAAGCGUUGUUCGGAUUUACUGGGCGUAAAGGGCGCGUAGGCGGCCACCGCAAGUCAAUUGUGAAAUCUCCGGGCUUAACUCGGAAAGGUCAACUGAUACUGCGGGGCUAGAGUGCGGAAGGGGCAACUGGAAUUCUCGGUGUAGCGGUGAAAUGCGUAGAUAUCGAGAGGAACACCUGCGGCGAAGGCGGGUUGCUGGGCCGACACUGACGCUGUAGAGCGAAAGCGUGGGGAGCGAACAGG